rnacentral:rRNA from 1 species
UACGUAGGGUGCGAGCGUUGUCCGGAAUUACUGGGCGUAAAGAGCUCGUAGGCGGUUUGUUGCGUCGGGAGUGAAAUCCUCCAGCUUAACUGGAGGCUUGCUUUCGAUACGGGCAGACUUGAGGUAUUCAGGGGAGAAUGGAAUUCCCGGUGUAGCGGUGAAAUGCGCAGAUAUCAGGAGGAACACCGGUGGCGAAGGCGGUUCUCUGGGAAUUACCUGACGCUGAGGAGCGAAAGUGUGGGGAGCGAACAGG